GACGAACGCUGGCGGCGUGCUUAACACAUGCAAGUCGAACAGAAAGGCCCUGCUUUUGUGGGGUGCUCGAGUGGCGAACGGGUGAGUAACACGUGAGUAACCUGCCCUUGACUUUGGGAUAACUUCAGGAAACUGGGGCUAAUACCGGAUAGGAGCUCCUGCUGCAUGGUGGGGGUUGGAAAGUUUCGGCGGUUGGGGAUGGACUCGCGGCUUAUCAGCUUGUUGGUGGGGUAGUGGCUUACCAAGGCUUUGACGGGUAGCCGGCCUGAGAGGGUGACCGGCCACAUUGGGACUGAGAUACGGCCCAGACGCCUACGGGAGGCAGCAGUGGGGAAUAUUGCACAAUGGGCGGAAGCCUGAUGCAGCAACGCCGCGUGCGGGAUGACGGCCUUCGGGUUGUAAACCGCUUUCGCCUGUGACGAAGCGUGAGUGACGGUAAUGGGUAAAGAAGCACCGGCUAACUACGUG
rnacentral:rRNA from 1 species